GAGGAUAUAGCUCAGUUGGUAGAGUGUGUGCCUAUAUGCACAAGGACCAGGGUCCAAUCCCCAGCACUACA
rnacentral:tRNA from 1 species